GCACAAGCGGUGAGCAUGUGGUUUAAUUCGAUGAUACGCGAGGAACCUUUACCAAGGCUUAAAUGUAGAUUGACAGGUUUGGAAACAGACUUUUCUUCGGACAAUUUACAAGGUGCUGCAUGGUUGUCGUCAGCUCGUGCCGUGAGGUGUCAGGUUAAGUCCUAUAACGAGCGCAACCCCUGUUGUUAGUUGCCAGCGAGUCAUGUCGGGAACUCUAACGAGACUGCCAGUGCAAACUGUGAGGAAGGUGGGAUGACGUCAAAUCAUCACGGCCCUUACGCCUUGGGCUACACACGUGCUACAAUGGUAGGUACAGAGAGCAGCCACAACGCAAGUUGGAGCGAAUCUACAAAACCUAUCUCAGUUCGGAUCGAAGUCUGCAACUCGACUUCGUGAAGCUGGAUUCGCUAGUAAUCGCGCAUCAGCCAUGGCGCGGUGAAUACGUUCCCGGGCCUU
rnacentral:rRNA from 1 species